rnacentral:rRNA from 1 species
UGGGGAAUAUUGCGCAAUGGGCGAAAGCCUGACGCAGCGACGCCGCGUGUGGGAUGACGGCCUUCGGGUUGUAAACCACUGUCGCGAGGGACGAAGAUCUGACGGUACCUCGAAAGGAAGCACCGGCUAACUCUGUGCCAGCAGCCGCGGUAAUACAGAGGGUGCGAGCGUUGUCCGGAAUCACUGGGCGUAAAGGGCGCGUAGGUGGCCUGAUAAGUAGGGGGUGAAAUCUCGAGGCUCAACUUCGAGGCUGCCUCUUAAACUGUCAGGCUCGAGCAGAGUAGAGGCAGGUGGAAUUCCCGGUGUAGCGGUGGAAUGCGUAGAGAUCGGGAAGAACAUCGGUGGCGAAGGCGGCCUGCUGGGCUCUUGCUGACACUGAGGCGCGACAGCGUGGGGAGCAAACAGGAUUAGAUACCCCAGUAGUCCCUGAGCGGGCUGGCAAGGCGCAU